rnacentral:rRNA from 1 species
GACAGAGGUGGCAAGCGUUGUUCGGAUUUAUUGGGUGUAAAGGGCAGGUAGGUGGCCUAGCAAGUCCGAUGUGAAAUCCCAGGGCUCAACCCUGGAACUGCAUUGGAAACUGCUUGGCUUGAGUACCGGAGAGGUGAGGGGAAUUCUCGGUGUAAGGGUGAAAUCUGUAGAUAUCUGGAGGAACACCGGUGGCGAAGGCGGCAUCCUGGACCAACACUGACGCUGAGGAGCGAAAGCCAGGGGAGCAAACGGG